rnacentral:pre_miRNA from 1 species
UAGACAAAUUAUUGUAUUCGACUGUAUUCACGAUAUGUAUUUGCAAAUACAGUAACGUAGCAAUUCAUGGUCUAUUCAACUAUUUUUAAACGGAAAGUGAAUCAAUUAACAUAAUAGACUCCU